GAUGAACGCUGGCGGCGUGCCUAAUACAUGCAAGUCGAGCGAACGGACGAGAAGCUUGCUUCUCUGAUGUUAGCGGCGGACGGGUGAGUAACACGUGGAUAACCUACCUAUAAGACUGGGAUAACUUCGGGAAACCGGAGCUAAUACCGGAUAAUAUUUUGAACCGCAUGGUUCAAAAGUGAAAGACGGUCUUGCCGUCACUUAUAGAUGGAUCCGCGCUGCAUUAGCUAGUUGGUAAGGUAACGGCUUACCAAGGCAACGAUGCAUAGCCGACCUGAGAGGGUGAUCGGCCACACUGGAACUGAGACACGGUCCAGACUCCUACGGGAGGCAGCAGUAGGGAAUCUUCCGCAUUGGGCGAAAGCCUGACGGAGCAACGCCGCGUGAGUGAUGAAGGUCUUCGGAUCGUAAAACUCUGUUAUUAGGGAAGAACAUAUGUGUAAGUAACUGUGCACAUCUUGACGGUACCUAAUCAGAAAGCCACGGCUAACUACGUG
rnacentral:rRNA from 1 species